rnacentral:rRNA from 1 species
UACGAAGGGGGCUAGCGUUGCUCGGAAUCACUGGGCGUAAAGGGUGCGUAGGCGGGUCUUUAAGUCAGGGGUGAAAUCCUGGAGCUCAACUCCAGAACUGCCUUUGAUACUGAGGAUCUUGAGUUCGGGAGAGGUGAGUGGAACUGCGAGUGUAGAGGUGAAAUUCGUAGAUAUUCGCAAGAACACCAGUGGCGAAGGCGGCGUCCUGGCCUGCGACUGACGCUGUGGCGCGAAAGCUAGGGGAGCGAACGGG